rnacentral:rRNA from 1 species
GAAACUGCGAAUGGCUCAUUAGAACAGUGAUAGUCUCCUCGCAGACUGGAUGGAUAACUGUGUUAAUGGUAGAGCUAAUACAUGGGUUGGCGUUUAGGUUCGUGAAGGCCGGAAGCCUGGACCGCCGCGGGAGCGGCGGCAGUGCGAAAGGGUCUCUGCCCUAUCAGCCGGUUGGCGGUGUCUUGGACUGCCAAGGCAGCGACGGGUGACGGAGAAUUGGGGUUCGAUUCCGGAGAGGGAGCCUGAGAGACGGCUACCACAUCUAAGGAAGGCAGCAGGCGCGCAAAUUACCCACUCCUCUACGAGGGAGGUAGUGACAAGAAAUAACAACGCGGGGCUUCGGUCCGGCGAUUGGAAUGAGGCGGGAGUAAAAUUCCCACCCAGGAGCCACUGGAGGGCAAGUCUGGUGCCAGCAGCCGCGGUAAUUCCAGCUCCAGUAGCGUAUACUAAAGUUGUUGCAGUUAAAAAGCUCGUAGUCAGCACUGGCUUCUCGGUCUGGGGCGCACGGCCCAUUGAUUUGGGGCGUGAGAGCUCGGACGGCUUACCUUGAGGAAACUAGGGUGUUCAAGGCAGGGCUACCUGGAUACCGCAGCUGGGAAUAAGGACUCCGCACAGGGACAGUUGGGGGCAUUUGUACUCGGCAGCCAGAGGUGAAAUUCUUGGACUUGCCGAAGACAGACCAGUGCGAAAGCAUUUGCCAAGGAUGUUUUCAUUGAUCAAGAACGAAAGUUAAGGGAUCAAAGACGAUCAGAUACCGUCCUAGUCUUAACCAUAAACUAUGCCAUCUGGGGCUGUCGUCGGACAGACAUACCGGCGACGGCCCCGCGCGAAAGCCAAGCCUUUGGGUUCUGGGGGGAGUAUGGUCGCAAGACUGAAACUUAAAGGAAUUGACGGAAGGGCACCACCAGGAGUGGAGCCUGCGGCUUAAUUUGACUCAACACGGGGAAACUCACCAGGUCCAGACAUGGCGGGGAUUGACAGAUUGAGAGCUCUUUCUUGAUCCCAUGGGUGGUGGUGCAUGGCCGUUCUUAGUCGGUGGAGUGAUCUGUCUGGUUAAUUCCGAUAACGGACGAGACCUCCUAGUAGACUGCGGGCGUUAGCCCGAGGAAGUUGGAGGCAAUAACAGGUCUGUGAUGCCCUUCGAUGUCCUGGGCCGCACGCGCGCUACACUGCGCGGCGCAGCUAGCGCCUCGGGCGACAGCCCCUGGCACUCUGCAAAGCCGCGCGUAGUGGGGAUUGACCCUUGCAAUUCUUGGUCACCAACUAGGAAUUCCUAGUACGCGCCAGUCACCAGCUGGCACUGAAUCUGUCCCUGCCCUUUGUACACACCGCCCGUCGCUCCUACCGAUCGAGUGUCUAGAUGAACACCCUGAGUGUAAAUCUACACAUUUAGAGGAAGGAGAAGUCGUAACAAGGUAUCCGUAGGUGAACCUGCAGAAGGAUCA